GGAGGCGGCGACGCCCCCCCGACUUGAGGCUGACGAAAGUCAGCCUGCCGCCUCCGCACCCCUCCUGAAAGUCCUUCAGGCGGACCCACUCGGGAUCCGCCU
rnacentral:sRNA from 1 species